rnacentral:rRNA from 1 species
CCUACGGGAGGCAGCAGUGAGGAAUAUUGGUCAAUGGCCGGAAGGCUGAACCAGCCAAGCCGCGUGAAGGACGAAGGUGCCAAGCAUUGUAAACUUCUUUUGUCAAGGGACAAAAUCAGGCUCGAAAUCCUCACCGAGGGUACUUGAAGAAAAAGCAUCGGCUAAGUCCGUGCCAGCAGCCGCGGUAAUACGGGGGAUGGGAGCGUUAUCCGGAUGUAUGGUGUUAAAAGGGUGCGUCGGCGGACUGUUAAGUCAGCGGUAAGAGCCCGGGGCUCAACCCCGGCGAGCCGUUGAAACUGGCUGGCUUGAGAUGUCGAGAGGUAUGCGGAAUGCGCAGUGUAGCGGUGAAAUGCGUAGAUAUUGCGCAGAACUCCGAUUGCGAAGGCAGCAUACCGGCGGCGAUCUGACGCUGAGGCACGAAAGCGUGGGUAUCGAACAGGAUUAGAUACCCGAGUAGUC